AUUGAACGCUGGCGGCAGGCCUAACACAUGCAAGUCGAGCGGAUGACGGGAGCUUGCUCCUUGAUUCAGCGGCGGACGGGUGAGUAAUGCCUAGGAAUCUGCCUGGUAGUGGGGGACAACGUUUCGAAAGGAACGCUAAUACCGCAUACGUCCUACGGGAGAAAGCAGGGGACCUUCGGGCCUUGCGCUAUCAGAUGAGCCUAGGUCGGAUUAGCUAGUUGGUGAGGUAAUGGCUCACCAAGGCGACGAUCCGUAACUGGUCUGAGAGGAUGAUCAGUCACACUGGAACUGAGACACGGUCCAGACUCCUACGGGAGGCAGCAGUGGGGAAUAUUGGACAAUGGGCGAAAGCCUGAUCCAGCCAUGCCGCGUGUGUGAAGAAGGUCUUCGGAUUGUAAAGCACUUUAAGUUGGGAGGAAGGGUUGUACGUUAAUACCGUGCAAUUUUGACGUUACCGACAGAAUAAGCACCGGCUAACUCUGUGCCAGCCGCCGCCGUAAUAC
rnacentral:rRNA from 1 species